AACGAACGCUGGCGGCAUGCCUAACACAUGCAAGUCGAACGAGCCCUUCGGGUCUAGUGGCGCACGGGUGCGUAACGCGUGGGAACCUGCCCUUAGGUUCGGAAUAACUCCCCGAAAGGGGUGCCAAUACCGGAUAAUGUCUUCGGACCAAUGAUUUAUCGCCUGUGGAUGGGCCCGCGUUGGAUUAGCUAGUUGGUAGGGUAAAAGCCUACCAAGGCGACGAUCCAUAGCUGGUCAGAGAGGAUGAUCAGCCACACUGGGACUGCGACACGGCCCAGACUCCUACGGGAGGCAGCAGUGGGGAAUAUUGGACAAUGGGCGAAAGCCUGAUCCAGCUAUGCCGCGUGAGUGAUGUAGGCCUUAGGGUUGUAAAGCUCUUUUACCCGGGAUGAUAAUGACAGUACCGGGAGAAUAAGCUCCGGCUAACUCCGUG
rnacentral:rRNA from 1 species